rnacentral:rRNA from 1 species
AGUGAACGCUGGCGGUAGGCCUAACACAUGCAAGUCGAACGGCAGCACAGUAAGAGCUUGCUCUUACGGGUGGCGAGUGGCGGACGGUUGAGGAAUACAUCGGAAUCUACUUUUUCGUGGGGGAUAACGUAGGGAAACUUACGCUAAUACCGCAUACGACCUACGGGUGAAAGCAGGGGAUCUUCGGACCUUACGCGAUUGAAUGAGCCGAUGUCGGAUUAGCUAGUUGGCGGGGUAAAGGCCCACCAAGGCGACGAUCCGUAGCUGGUCUGAGAGGAUGAUCAGCCACACUGGAACUGAGACACGGUCCAGACUCCUACGGGAGGCAGCAGUGGGGAAUAUUGGACAAUGGGCGCAAGCCUGAUCCAGCCAUACCGCGUGGGUGAAGAAGGCCUUCGGGUUGUAAAGCCCUUUUGUUGGGAAAGAAAAGCAGCAGGUUAAUACCCCGCUGUUCUGACGUUACCCAAAGAAUAAGCACCGGCUAACUUCGUG